UGGCAGUGCAUGCCUGUAAUCCCAGCUACUCCGGAGGCUGAAGCAGGAGAAUCGCUUGAACCCAGCAGGCGGAGGUUGCAGUGAGCCGAUUGCGCCACUGCCUUCCAGCCUGGGCAAAAAGAGUGAGACCCGUCUCAGAAAAAAAGGAAUGAGUUAAAAUUUGCUAGUACUUUGGAUUGCAGGGUGUGAGAGAAGAGGAAUGAAGGAUGAUACCAAGGUUUUUAGCUUAAGCAACUAGAGUUGUCAUCUGAGAUGGGGAUGACCUUGGAAGGGGAAAAUCAGCAAGAGUUUGCCUUUGCACAUAGUCUUAGGUGCCUAUUAGACAUUGAAAAAGAAAUGGCAAGUAGGCAGUAGACAGCAGAGUCUGAAGUUCUGGAAGAGGUCCAGACUGGAAAUGUACAUUUGGAGGAUGUCAGCCCUGUGGGAAUGGAGUUAGGAAAAUGCUAUGAUUUGUUCCCUUCCCUGUAGUUUAGUUUUUACCCUGGCAGAUUUGAGGCCUGCUUUGGAUUUAGAGAAAGCUGAGUUGGCCAGGACUUUACUAUUAUGUAACCAGGACUACAAAUGUCAGCAACUAAAAAUAAAGAAAGUCAGGCCCUCUUCUGCCCUUCGAAAUGGCUACAGGGACCAAGUAUGCAUACCCCACAAGACCAGAAGUAAGGAAGGACCAGUAGGAGGCUGGAGGUAAAAGAAAAAUAAGGGCCCAGCACGGUAGCUCAUGCCUAUAAUCCCAGCACUUUGGGAAGCGAUGGAUCACAAGGUUAAGAGAUGGAGACCAUCCUGGCCAACAUAGUGAAACCCUAUCUCUGCUAAAAACACAAAAAUUAGCUGGGCGUGGUGGCACGCGCCUGUAGUCCCAGCUACUCGGGAGGCCGAGGCAGAAGAAUCACUUGAACCGAGGAGGCAGAGGUUGCAGUGAGCCGAGAUCGCACCACUGCACUUCAG
rnacentral:lncRNA from 1 species